CUGAAGCUUACGAAAGAAUCUUACUUUGUUUUGACCUUGCCCCUGUGAUCAGAGUAUCAACAGAUAAUGACAAGAUGAAUGUGAAGAAACAUCAUGCAAUUCAGAUAAUUUGUUUUUGUGAACUUGGUAGUGAGAUUGGAAAACUAGAAUGAUGUUUGAUCCCGCUUGGAAUCCUUUCAACAAGGUUUACAGUGUUGAGGACGGGAUGGUUUUUCCCCCCCAGUGUCUGCACCCUGAGGUGGUGUUAAAUAUUUCGGAUGUUUUUGAAAACAAUCAGACCACAAAGUCUCUGCCACUAUUAAUGGAAACCUUAUGUGCUUGGGAGCUGGUUGCACGUGCAAAGUGCCUUAUAGCCUACAGAGAUCAUCAUUUUUGUUAAGUUCUG
rnacentral:lncRNA from 1 species